CCUAUGAUGAUUGGUCUCGAUGCUGCGUCUCGUCUUCUCCGAUACACAUAUACAUAUGUGAAGACGAAAGUGACACAGGUGAUGAGCAAGCAAGAGAGAUGAGGAACAAGGUGAUGAAGCUGAUGGUGGUGAACGACAAGCCUGAAAACUUCUUUCAGGUUUUCACUUUGACGGCUAGGUUUAGUGAAGGUUCCUAUCGACGAUGAUAAAGAAUACAUUGAAGCUAUUAAAGAAGCAAGUUUUGGUGUUCAGCAAAGUGUCUUCGUCAACUGUUUUGUACAAUGUUGCUUUCAAAUAAUACCAUAACUCCAGAAACAUAUGGAAUGUUACUUGGAAAAUACUAUCAACAGAUAUAUCAUGCAACGAAAGGAAAAAAAUGGAUGAUACAAAUUUAAAUUUCUCAGAAGAUCAAAUUAAGAGUUUAGCUUUGGCGGAUAUCGAAUCACUCAUGCGUAUCAAUGGAAGCUCCUUGACAAUAUUUAAGAUUUGAAAUGCCUUAUCAAUAAUAUAAUCUCUGUCUAUUGUUAAAUGGUGGCUUUGAUUGCAAUUCUAUUUAUCUUUUAUGUUGUAUUUUAUUAAUAUUAAUUUAAAAUAUGUUAUUAUAAUUAAAUAACAAAGGCAUUUGUGUUCAAUA